CAGCAGCCGCGGUAAUACGUAGGUGGCAAGCGUCGUCCGGAAUUAUUGGGCGUAAAGGGCUCGCAGGCGGUUUCUUAAGUCUGAUGUGAAAGCCCCCGGCUCAACCGGGGAGGGUCAUUGGAAACUGGGAAACUUGAGUGCAGAAGAGGAGAGUGGAAUUCCACGUGUAGCGGUGAAAUGCGUAGAGAUGUGGAGGAACACCAGUGGCGAAGGCGACUCUCUGGUCUGUAACUGACGCUGAGGAGCGAAAGCGUGGGGAGCGAACAGGAUUAGAUACCCCGGUAGUCCCUGUCUCUUAUAC
rnacentral:rRNA from 1 species